ensembl:lncRNA
AAUUUUUAAGCAUUUAUUUAAAAUAUAUUUUUACAUGACAGAUAUUUGUAUAAAAAUAUAAUCAGUAAUCUUUUAAACAGUGGUGACCCCAACCGACAAAAAAAAAAGUCCAACAACACGGAGUGUGUGUGUGUGUUUGUGUAUGAGAGAGAGAGAGACAGAAACAGAGUGUGUGUGUAAGAGAGAGAGACAGGGAGAGUGAGAGUGUGUGUGUGUGUGUGUGUGAGAUUGAGAGAGAGACAGGGAGAGUGAGUGGGAGUGUGUGAGAGUGAGUGAGAUUGUGUGUGUGUGUGUGUGUGAGAGUGUGUGUGUGUGUGUGAGUGUGUGUGAGAGAGAGACAGAGUGAGUGAGAGAGAUUGUGUGUGUGUGUGUGUGUGUGAGAGAGAGACAGAGUGAGUGAGAGAGAUUGUGUGUGUGUGUGUGUGUGUGUGUGUGUGUGUGUGUGUUGUGUGUGUGUGUGUGUGAUUAAAUGCCUCCAGUCUGGCAGAUCACAGUCCAGGUGUUCGGAUCCAGUCAGUAAUAAUGUUUAACUGGGACUAACAGAAACAUGUGCCGAUACUCGAUUAGAAAUAUACCACAAUAAUAAAUCACAGUCACCACGGACAUGUCGUAUCCCACGCUGCACAGGGAGACACACGGCGUGUCAGGGCAGUGCUGGUGCUCCGGAGAUAACGUCUGUCUCGUUCACAACGGCAGUUUGUCCUCCAGCGUUCCUCACAGUGGACAAAUAUGAAGGCAUCAUCAUCAUCAUCAUCAUCAUCAUCAUCAUCAUCAUGUUGAAACACAAAUCUGUAGCAGUGAUCAUGUGACAUGCUGCACAAUAAGAAGAGCUCAAAGGUACACACCCUUUAGCAGUAAAAUAACGCGACACCGUCAUAACCCAGGACAGAAAGGACCGUGUCAGCGUUCUGUUUAACGAGAACGAGCUUGGGUGAGCGAUAAACACAUUCAACGGUACCUUUAUUUUAAACACGUUCGCCCUCCCUCACACGGAGGAACGCUCCCGGUCCAGAACCGGCUCCUGUACAGACUCGUUUACAGCUCAAGAAUUCAAAACGAAAAGGUGCGGAUGAACUUAAAGUCCACGUAGAUAGACCACUAAUCACGCUCUCCACCGCGCACAACGCUCACGUCUGCUACCGGCGUGCCGACAGCAGCAGGAGACUUAUCCACCAGCUGUUUAACACAAACAUCAAAGAGAUGAUUACAAAGGACUCGUCACAAUAGUAAAAACUGCUGCGUCGCUGAAUGGGUCAGAGAGAGAGACGCUAGUCACACUGAUUUAAAAAAUAUAACCUUUUAAAAAGAACACUGCGAAAUCUAAAUCCAGCACAGGAACCUGCGCUCACUUCACAUCCCGAAUAAAGCCCGGUGUCUAUACGCUACAGGCUUCCCAUCAACUUAGUGGAAAAAAUACAGAAGAAAGAAACUAAUAAUAAUCAUAAUAAUCAUCAUAAUAAUAAUAAUAAUAAUAUAAUAA